rnacentral:rRNA from 1 species
GUGGCGCAGCUAACGCACUAAGUAGACCGCCUGGGGAGUACGGCCGCAAGGUUAAAACUCAAAUGAAUUGACGGGGGCCCGCACAAGCGGUGGAGCAUGUGGUUUAAUUCGACGCAACGCGAAGAACCUUACCUGGCCUUGACAUGCAGAGAACUUUCCAGAGAUGGAUUGGUGCCUUCGGGAACUCUGACACAGGUGCUGCAUGGCCGUCGUCAGCUCGUGUCGUGAGAUGUUGGGUUAAGUCCCGUAACGAGCGCAACCCCUAUCCCUAGUUGCUAGCAGUUCGGCUGAGAACUCUAGGGAGACUGCCGGUGACAAACCGGAGGAAGGUGGGGAUGACGUCAGGUCAUCAUGGCCCUUACGGCCAGGGCUACACACGUGCUACAAUGGUGCGUACAGAGGGCUGCAAACCCGCGAGGGGGAGCUAAUCUCACAAAACGCAUCGUAGUCCGGAUCGGAGUCUGCAACUCGACUCCGUGAAGUCGGAAUCGCUAGUAAUCGCGAAUCAGAAUGUCGCGGUGAAUACGUUCCCGGGCCUUGUACACACCGCCCGUCACACCAUGGGAGUGGAUUGCACCAGAAGUGGUUAGUCUAAC